rnacentral:rRNA from 1 species
UACAGAGACUGCAAGCGUUAUUCGGAUUCACUGGGCGUAAAGGGUGCGCAGGCGGCCGAGUGUGUGAGGCGUGAAAGCCCGGGGCUUAACCCCGGAAUUGCACCUCAAACUACACGGCUAGAGCAUUGGAGAGGGUAGCAGAAUUCACGGUGUAGCAGUGAAAUGCGUAGAUAUCGUGAGGAAUACCAGAGGCGAAGGCGGCUACCUGGACAAUUGCUGACGCUCAGGCACGAAAGCGUGGGGAUCAAACAGG